rnacentral:rRNA from 1 species
AAGUUUUUCGGAACUUAGUGGCGGACGGGUGAGUAACGCGUGAGAAUCUGCCUUAAGGAUUGGGACAACAGUGGGAAACCGCUGCUAAUACCAAAUAUGCCUUUUAGUGAAAUGGGUAAAACCGCCUUAAGAUGAGCUCGCGUCUGAUUAGCUAGUUGGUGUGGUAAGAGCGCACCAAGGCAACGAUCAGUAGCUGGUCUGAGAGGACGACCAGCCACACUGGGACUGAGACACGGCCCAGACUCCUACGGGAGGCAGCAGUGAGGAAUUUUCCGCAAUGGGCGAAAGCCUGACGGAGCAAUACCGCGUGAGGGAGGAAGGUUCUUGGAUUGUAAACCUCUUUUCUCGGAGAAGAAUAAUGACGGUAUCUGAGGAAUAAGCAUCGGCUAACUCCGUGCCAGCAGCCGCGGUAAUACGGAGGAUGCAAGCGUUAUCCGGAAUGAUUGGGCGUAAAGGGUCUGUAGGUGGUUGUUCAAGUCUGCUGUUAAAGCGUCUGGCUUAACCAGAUAAAGGCGGUGGAAACUGAACGACUAGAGUGCGGUAGGGGUAGAGGGAAUUCCCAGUGUAGCGGUGAAAUGCGUAGAUCUUGGGAAGAACACCUGUGGCGAAAGCGCUCUACUGGACCGCGACUGACACUGAUGGACGAAAGCUAGGGGAGCGAAUGGGAUUAGAUACCCCAGUAGUCCUAGCCGUA